UCGAUGCCCAUUCGACGGAACCACCACUCUUCGCCGCCAUUUUGGAAACUGGUCAGACGGUGACAACUCUUGUCUCCGCAAGAGGACUUUCAGUUUAGUUCAAUAUUUCCGGGGAUUGCCACAGUUUCAGCCGCAAGAAUUUCCGCAGAUGGCGCUGAAGUCGAAACACUGGAUGAGAAUUUUAUCAACUCAGUGGCGCACACUUUUGAAAUAUAAAAUAUCAUCGAAAAGACUCCGAAAAAAUCCCAUACAAAUGUAGACUUAAUAGAUUCUACUUUUCAAAAUAAAAAUUCAAGUUAUUCUUUA